AUGGAAUGGCAUGAACCAGCAUCCACCGAUUUACAUCACAAAACCCAACAGAACGGAACCUCUGAUAUCAUCAUCAUCCUCGUCACACAAGUUCAGGUAAGAAGAUACACAGUUGCACCUAAUGUACAUGCAUCAAGCACAGAGGGUGCUCGGUUUCUCGGCCGAAGAGCUCGAAAGGCCACCUUAAAACCUCUCCAUGGUACCGACCACCGGCUGUGCCUCCACACGCUGCCUCUUCUCAGAAAGAUAGGGACCCCUUCUGACCGCCUCAUUCAGCUGCAGCAAGAGGCAUUUGUUUCCUCGGUCAACAGUCACGCUUCAAACGACAAGAACCAGCGGAUGCAAGAACCGGGGACAUACCUUUCCAAUGAGUUCAGAAAGGCUCGGUUCAUGAAGAAGGUGCGAUGA
rnacentral:rRNA from 1 species